GACGAACGCUGGCGGCGUGCUUAACACAUGCAAGUCGAACGGUGAAGCGCCUUCCUUUUUGGUGGGUGUGGAUGAGUGGCGAACGGGUGAGUAACACGUGAGUAACCUGCCCCCUUCUUCUGGAUAACCGCAUGAAAGUGUGGCUAAUACGGGAUAUUCUGGGUCUGUCGCAUGAUGGGUCUGGGAAAGAUAUUGUUUCGGUGGGGGAUGGGCUCGCGGCCUAUCAGCUUGUUGGUGGGGUGAUGGCCUACCAAGGCGGUGACGGGUAGCCGGCCUGAGAGGGUGGACGGUCACACUGGGACUGAGACACGGCCCAGACUCCUACGGGAGGCGGCAGUGGGGAAUAUUGCACAAUGGGCGCAAGCCUGAUGCAGCGACGCCGCGUGAGGGAUGGAGGCCUUCGGGUUGUGAACCUCUUUCGCCAGUGAAGCAGGCCUGCCUCGUUUGUGGGUGGGUUGACGGUAGCUGGAGAAGAAGCGCCGGCUAACUACGUG
rnacentral:rRNA from 1 species